rnacentral:rRNA from 1 species
UACGGAGGGGACUAGCGUUGUUCGGAUUUACUGGGCGUAAAGGGUGCGUAGGCGGCCUAGUAAGUUAGAAGUGAAAGCCUGGGGCUCAACCCCAGAACUGCUUCUAAAACUAUUAGGCUAGAGUAUGGGAGAGGAUAGUGGAAUUCCUAGUGUAGAGGUGAAAUUCUUAGAUAUUAGGAGGAACACCGGUGGCGAAAGCGACUAUCUGGAACAUUACUGACGCUGAGGCACGAAAAGCGUGGGGGAGCAAAACAGGAUUAGAUACCCCCGUAGUCC